GAGCGGGCAUGCCGGAGCUCACCGACACCCUGUCAACGCCAAGCCACUAAACUGUACAGAUCCUAAUUGUUCCCAACCGCAUCUGUCAACUUAUUCUCCUUAUUUUGUUCUUGUCCAUAUUCAAUUGACAGGAAAUUGACAGAAAGACAAGUGCCAGCUGUUUUGCGAAACAAGUCAGGUCUUUUUUUCUUCCUUCUCUGAUAUUUGUUAUCUCCCGUGGGUGACAUGGAACGGACGUCCGGAUGAGAUACAAUCUCUUACAUUGAUGAACCAACUAAUGGAUGUCACAUAUCGCCGUGUGUCUCCUUUCUCUGCAUUCUGGAGACAGAUCAGAGUACAUCCGUGACCCUCCUCGCAACAUGAACUCGAGCUGGGGGAUACGUAGAACAAAAGAGUAACCAUUCAGCUGUCCGUCAGCUGGUCUACCCCUAACUUUUGGAGGGGAAG